CCCUUAGAUGUUCUGAACCGCACGCGUGUUACACUGAUGCAUUCAACGAGCUUUACCUUGGCCGAGAGGCCUGGGAAAUCUUUUUAGCAUGCAUCGUGAUAGGGAUUGAUUAUUGCAAUUAUUAAUCAUGAACGAGGAAUUCCUAGUAAACGCAUUUCAUCAAAAUGCAUUGAUUACGUCCCUGCCCUUUGUACACACCGCCCGUCGCACCUACCGAUUGAGUGGUCCGGUGAAGUCUCGGGACGGCGGCUUGGUCGCUUGCGUCCGACUGCUGAAACUUGAUUAAACCAUAUCAUUUAGAGGAAGGUGAAGUCGUAACA
rnacentral:rRNA from 1 species